rnacentral:misc_RNA from 1 species
CGCACAUUGCGCCUGCUGGUAUUCCGGUAGGCAUGCCUGUUUGAGCGUCAGCAAAACUCCUCAGCAUGAAAUUUUUUGUGUUGGUUAUGGGUAGUGGAGAAUGAGCCUAAACCGUUCGCUCCCGUCUUAAACUUGCUGCACGACCGCAAGCUAAAAGCUAGGUUAAUGGAGUGGUAUUUACAUAUAUUCCAGCAUCUGCUAAUAGCUUUGUGGCGUUAAACAUAAAGUUACCCUCCGGGUAACUGAAGUUUGACCUCAAAUCAGACAAGGAUACCCGCUGAACUUAA